GCCUCCCCUUUCAGCCAGUGGGUUAAUGGUGGUUAGUCUGGCCAGGAUCCGGAGCAGCCACGUCAGGGUCGCUUCCCUCGGGCUCCGCCCCGGCCGACCCCACCUUGUCGCACAGCUCCACCCCGCCGCCCCCUUCCCGGCGGCCCCUCCCCGCGCAGGUCCUGACUCCAGCCGCACCUCCUCCGGCUCUGCAGUGGCGGCAAGAAGGCGAGCGGGAGUGCCUGCGGGGUCCGCGCCAGAGCGGAGCCGGGGUCGGGGCAGCCGCGAGGACCCCCUUGGAGGCGGGGCCUGUGGGACCGUGAUGGGCGUGGAGAUCGAGACCAUCUCCCCAGGAGACGGAAGGACAUUCCCUAAGAAGGGUCAGAUAUGUGUGGUGCACUACACAGGGCUCUUUUCUGCCCUCUUCUUACUUGGAUAGGAAUGCUUCAAAAUGGCAAGAAAUUUGAUUCAUCCAGAGACAGAAACAAACCUUUCAAGUUCAGAAUUGGCAAACAGGAAGUCAUCAAAGGCUUUGAAGAAGGCACUGCCCAGCUGGGUCCUCUUUCUCCUCUCCCCAUCUGCCCCCAUCCCUGCUAGAUGAGCUUGGGGCAGAGGGCGAAGCUGACCUGCACCCCUGAUGUGGCCUAUGGAGCUACCGGCCACCCCGGUGUCAUCCCUCCCAAUGCCACCCUCAUCUUUGACGUGGAGCUGCUCAGCUUAGAGUGAAGGCAGGAAGGAAAUCGAGGUGGCUGGAGAUGGCCCCUGCUCUGUCCUAGCCUGCUCUCUCUGCCACUGGGACGGCUCCUCCUAUGUAGGGCUCUUGAUCAGUGUGCUGACCCCACCGCCCCUCCACAUUAUCUGUCCUCUCUACCCAUCGUGCUCUCUCUGUGUCAGCCAUUUAAUCAUCCCCACACACCUCUGCUUGAGAAAACCUUAGUUCAGAUCCAGACAUUUCAGACUGCACAUUUUGUGUGAUGCAUGUAGUAGCCAUUCCUGAUCAUAGGACACAGAUCUUGUUUGCACAAUCUAUAUUGCCUUACCUGCACUUAAGCCAGACAUACAAGGUGCUCAGACAUGUGCUGUACAUGGUUACAUGGAGGGACUUGAGCCAGUUACCUUUGCUGUCAUUUCUUAUCUUCUGUUGGCUGCUCACUUUAAGCACUGCCCUCUGGAAAUAAUAUGUAAAAUAAAGGCUCUGUACUUGGCGUCUUCCUGUUCA